rnacentral:rRNA from 1 species
UACGUAGGGUGCGAGCGUUAAUCGGAAUUACUGGGCGUAAAGCGUACGUAGGCGGCUUUGUAAGUCAGAGGUGAAAGCCCACGACUCAAUCGUGGAACUGCCUUUGAGACUGCUUCGCUUGAAGAUGGGAGAGGUUAGUGGAAUUCCGAGUGUAGAGGUGAAAUUCGUAGAUAUUCGGAAGAACACCAGUGGCGAAGGCGGCUAACUGGACCAUUCUUGACGCUGAGGUACGAAAGCGUGGGGAGCAAACAGG